rnacentral:lncRNA from 1 species
AAACCGAACUGGUUCCCAGAUAUAGAUGUCGCCUCCCUCACCCGCGCCUCAAUCACCCUCUCCCAAACCUUCAUCAUGUGACUUAUUAAUUUGAUACCCUAUAGUUGUUGCAGCACUGGAUGUCCCCUCUGUUCUUGUACAAGGGCACCACUAUAUUCCACCUCCACUCAUCCGGCAUCCUUUUGGUCCUGAAGAUCGCAUUGAACAACCUAGAGAGC